rnacentral:rRNA from 1 species
GACGAACCGAGCGAACGUUGUUCGGAAUCACUGGGCUUAAAGGGCGCGUAGGCGGGUGCUCAAGUCCGGGGUGAAAUCCCACAGCUCAACUGUGGAACUGCCUCGGAUACUGGGCGUCUCGAGGGUGGCAGGGGUAUGCGGAACUAUCGGUGGAGCGGUGAAAUGCGUUGAUAUCGAUAGGAACUCCGGUGGCGAAGGCGGCAUACUGGUCCACUUCUGACGCUGAGGCGCGAAAGCGUGGGGAGCGAACGGG